rnacentral:lncRNA from 1 species
CAACUUUAUUCCUGAGUGGGGUUCGUAUGAUAAAUUUAACUUCAGCUAUAGAACCAGACCAAAAAAAAUUUACAAAACAAAAUACCAUGACAUUCAUUUACUGGAAAAAUAUUCUGAGUGCACAAUAUGCACCAGCAUUGUAUAAGUCGCAAGAAAUCCUCUACAGGUGAGGGAAAUGGAACAAAGUACCUACAGUGUCCCUACAAAAGCUUGCAACUGAACAGGAAAAACAGAAUCAACUAGAAGUGGUCCUGGAGGCAAGUAUGGUUUUUCUUCCAAUGUACAUUGGUGAUGGUACUCAAGAGAGUGUCUCUCUCCAGAGCAUGUGGCCCACAUCCUGUCUUCUAGAGCUCUGCCCUGACCAUGUGCAUGACUCACACCUUCUUUAGGUACAUAAAUGUGUGUCCUACGGCAAGAGCACAGAGGUCAGAGUCCUGGGUGUCAGUCAGGCUCAACAGCAGAGCUGAGAAAAAUGGAAAAGGUACUUCAGUCCAUGAACAUUGUGAAGAACAAGCAAGGGCUUGAGCUAUAAACUGUGAGACCUUUGACUCCACUUAUUCCCGUUCAUCUUGCAAGCUUUUGUUGUAAGAAUCGAUGAGCGUUAAGAAAUCCACACAAUGGAGAUGAUAGCAAGCACAAGUAAAAUCUAGUCAUAAACUUCCAGGACAAGAAAAAGAAAUAAAGAUGGGAAAAACACAG